GAUCGAUCCUCGCAGCCAUCCGAAGUUGGCAUUCAUGAUUCUCUUUUUCUCGUGGGGGAACUAGGAGGGGACCACGGUGCCAACAGGGAGACCUCCUGAAGCAGGAGGGAAGAAAUCGACGACACGUUUUUAUACGGUUCAGGCCGAUCCUGUCUUCACGGACCCGUAGAAAAAGUGCGACGAUUUCGUAGACCAGUAAGAAUCGAAGGCCAAUGGCACGCAGUGGAAAGCGUAUACUUGGUAUACCUGAAGGAAGGUGAAGAUUGGGAGAAUGAGUGAAGUUAUCUCAAGAGGAGUGAUGGCGUCGGCUGGCAAAAGGAACAAACCAGGGGGGGGAGGAUCUCGACUCCUUAUGAACCGAAGGCGCUACUUCGUGGUCCUGAAAAAGAAGAGAGACGAACGAGCAGGAGAUGAGACGUAAGAAGACGAAGAAGCAGAGUAGAGGUGGAGGGGUGGUUGGCAGUCGAAGAAAAAGAAGAAAGUGCUGACCGACGUAGCUGGUA